AUCAGGAUUUCUGGAGCUGCUUAGCUGAGAGGUUUUGGUUAAGGGUCUCCCAGGAGGUUGCCAUGAAGGUGCAGGCUGGGGUCACAGGCACUGGAAGGCAUGGCUGGAGCAAGCAGACCAUUUCCAAGUGGCUCACUCUCAUAGCUGCCAAGUUGGUGAUUGCUGUUUGUAGAUACAUCCAGUUCCUUCCACAUCAACCCUGCCAUAGGCUGCUUGAGUAGUCUCAUGACAUGGCAGCUGGCUCACCCCAGAAUAAGGAAAUGACUUACUGCAAAGAACCACUCUUCCCCACGAGACUUCGAGAAGACCCGCUGUCACGGACUGAGUUGUGUCCUCUUAAAAUUCAGAUGUUGGAGUCCAAACCCCCAGUAACUCAGAGUGUGAACGUAUUUGAAGAGGUCUUUAAAGAGGUGAUGAAGGGAGAGAGACCCCAUGAGCUCGUCAAGCUCCUUCUGUGACUGAUCAGAGAUCCCACCGUGAGUCCAGCUCCUGGUCCCAUGCUCUGGAUAUAUCGGUCCCUGGCAGCGUGAGUGCCUCUGUGUUCACUGUCCCAUUUGAGAAUUCUAAGUAGAAUUCUGAACAGGCUGGAGCAGAUUGCCCACCCCAAGGGACAGAUGUUGGCUGGUACUGUUGGUAUUCAUGGAAGAUUCCUUCUGACACUCCCUCCUUCUUUGUAAUUGCCAUGAACUGGAGCACUGGGCCAAUAUAAAUCAUCCAAGGGUGAACACGCUGCACAUGGACGGCUCCUCUUUGUUUUUGAAGGGAUUCCAUCUCUAUUUUGCCAUGUGCUCCUUCACCCCACUCCCCACCCCCGUCUUUCAUUUCUUUCUCUGGAAAAGAUACUUCAACUCACAGGACUGCGAUGUUGAAACGGACACCCAAGAGCAUCACAGAUGGGCCAGGCCUGGACCUCUCGGGACAACAUUCCUCACGACUUUUAGAUAGAAGAGAUUAGAG
rnacentral:lncRNA from 10 species